ACAAAUCAUCUAAUUAGUGAUCAAGUAAUUAAAUGUAUUAAGAACAAUAUUAAAAUCAACACAUGAAAUAAAAAAGUACUAGAAUCUCAAUUGCAUGAAAUAAAGGGUUCCAAAAGAUUACAUUGUUCGCCCUAACAUGAAAUUUAACUACUCAUAAUAAUGGAAGAAAAAUAUGAGAUUGUCUUAGAAUACAUCACCGAGUUUGAAAUAAAGAUGUGGAAGAAAAAAUGGAAUUCUUGCACCAAGAUCUCCUUCCUCUUCCAAUGAGUGCUUCCAAUCUUCAAUUCUUGGUGUUAAUCUUCUUAAAUUUCUCCCUUGAAUCUCCCUUCUUGUUGUUUUUCUCUCCAAUAUGUCCAGAACCCUUCAAAAGUAUGAGGAGGAUGUAUUUAUAUGUGCCUCCACGUUUUUCUCUUGAAGUAGGGUUUCUAUGGCUUUAAAAACGGCCCAAAAAAAAACGCGCCCUAAAUCGCCAAUCGCAGCGCCUAGGCGCUGGCUGUAGCGCCUGGGC
rnacentral:lncRNA from 1 species